rnacentral:rRNA from 1 species
GUGGGGAAUAUUGGACAAUGGGCGAAAGCCUGAUCCAGCCAUGCCGCGUGUGUGAAGAAGGUCUUCGGAUUGUAAAGCACUUUAAGUUGGGAGGAAGGGCAGUAAGUUAAUACCUUGCUGUUUUGACGUUACCGACAGAAUAAGCACCGGCUAACUUCGUGCCAGCAGCGGCGGUAAUACGAAGGGUGCAAGCGUUAAUCGGAAUUAGUGGGCGUAAAGCGCGCGUAGGUGGUUUUGUAAGUUGGAGGUGACAUCCCCGGGCUCAACCUGGGAACUGCCUCCAAAACUGCAUGACUAGAGUACGGUAGAGGGUAGUGGAAUUUCCUGUGUAGCGGUGACAUGCGUAGAUAUAGGAAGGAACACCAGUGGCGAAGGCGACUACCUGGACUGAUACUGACACUGAGGUGCGAAAGCGUGGGGAGCAAACAGGAUUAGAAACCCGAGUAGUCC